rnacentral:rRNA from 1 species
UACGAAGGGGGCUAGCGUUGCUCGGAAUUACUAGGCGUAAAGGGCGCGUAGGCGGCCGUUCAAGUCGGAGGUGAAAUCCCAAGGCUCAACCUUGGAAUUGCCUUCGAUACUGGAUGGCUAGAGACCGGAAGAGGUAAGUGGAACUGCGAGUGUAGAGGUGAAAUUCGUAGAUAUUCGCAAGAACACCAGUGGCGAAGGCGGCUUACUGGUCCGGUUCUGACGCUGAGGCGCGAAAGCGUGGGGAGCAAACAGG